rnacentral:rRNA from 1 species
AGCAGUAGCCGCGGGAAUACGAAGGGGGCUAGCGUUGUUCGGAAUCACUGGGCGUAAAGGGUGCGUAGGCUGGUUCUUAAGUCAGGGGUGAAAUCCCGAGGCUCAACCUCGGAACUGCCUUUGAUACUGGGGAUCUUGAGUCCGGAAGAGGUGAGUGGAACUGCGAGUGUAGAGGUGAAAUUCGUAGAUAUUCGCAAGAACACCGGUGGCGAAGGCGGCUCACUGGUCCGGAACUGACGCUGAGGCACGACAGCGUGGGGAGCAAACAGGAUUAGAUACCCCAGUAGUCCCUGUCUCUUAUAA